AAAUCGUAAACAUAUAUAACAAUUAAUUGUGUAAUUUAGGAUUUUUUAUCAUAAAUAUAUAAUAUUUUUCUUUCUUUUUGGAAAAUGAGGAAAAACAAUUGUCAUUGGUCAACUUAUUACGCGCAUGCGCACUUUAUUUUGUCCAAUAUGUUUCAGACGCCGAGUUGCGUUACUAUGUAUAAAUGUUACAUCUAUGGUUUGUGUACUUUGAACGUGCCGAUUUUUGGCGGGAAGAGAGGCACAAAAAUGGCAAGUGUGACUAUGGACGAGAUGGAAAGGAAGGAUUCUCUGCGGAAUUUGUUUCAAGAUUUGGGCUGUAAAGUCGAAAAUGACGCCAUUCUCGAUAAAUGUUUUGAACUUUGCGAGUCUUACAAUGUCGACAUUGAGAAGCUUACGGAAUUAUGGCUCACUUUUUGUGUCAACAACAACAGCGACAUUGAUCCCACUCUUGGCACUCUCGUUAAGAUGGAAAGUGCAAUCUUGAAGAAGGAUUACACAUUGCAUGAUUUAAUCAUGGAAGAUAAUGGGAAUAAAAUACAAACUACAACAGACAAACAAGAGUUUAACGUCAAGAGAGACACUGAAAAUGAUGAUAUGCUUAGCAUGUAUGGCUGCGCUGAAACCAGACCACCGAAGCGCACCCGAAGUCCAGAAGUUGAUACUAGGGUCACUCAGGCAGGUAAAACGAAAGUUGAAGAAGGCUCGUUUUCAGCCAGCUGCACCGAAAAUUCAAGCACGCAGAGUCAGCGUACAGCAAUAGACAAAAAAAAGAUCCUGCUCUCCACCGGCGAGGCUGUCGCGUCCUGGAAGAGGACAGGAGAUUACGAGGUCGAAGUUACCAAGUCCGACGAGCCGCACGUUCCUAGCGACGCGAGGUACAUGUACGAGAUCCUGUCGAAGCAGGGGUACCUUCUCACUUCCGUAUGCCGGAGUCUAGGCGCCAGGCUGUUCAAGACGUGGUCGACGAUGACCAGCAACACCGAGCUACGUUACGUCAAGAACGUUCGAAGCGUGAACCAGACGAACUUUCGGACGUUCGGUCGCGUGAACGUGAAGAAGGAGUCGUCCGCGAGCACGGUGACCCUGGAAGGUUGCACGAGACGGAGGGGCGUCUCGAUGGCCGACUCGAUCGAGCUGGACUUUCGCAAUCUGAAGCAGUACUCGGUGUUCUCCGGACAGGUUGUGGCGGUAGAGGCCAUCAAUCCGGUAGGCGACGCGUUGUACGUGAAGGAGAUCUUCGCCAAGGCGUACGCGCCAUCCGCAGCUGCGCCUAGACUCGAGUCCAAGGUCAACGUCUUCGUCGCGGCGGGUCCGUUCACCGCCCUCAACAACACGCUGUAUCAACCGUUGUGGGAUCUGAUGGAGAAGAUUGCGGCGGAUGAACCGCACGUUUUGAUACUCGUCGGACCCUUCCUCGAGUACACCCAUCCCGAGGUACAAGAUAAUCUCAUUAAAGAUACGCAUCAGGAAUUCUUUGAGAAGAUUCUUCUGAGGAUAAUGGAGUCCACGAGGAAGAGCACGCAGGUUGUGUUAGUAGCUUCUAAUCGCGACGCACAUCACGAACCCAUAUUUCCCACUCCUCACUAUACUGUCUUUAAUAAAAAGUUAUUGCAAAAUUAUCGGAAUUUAAAACUGAUGCCGGAUCCCUGUAUUUUGGAUGUCGCCGGAUUAAAGAUCGGAGUCACGUCGGUCGAUGUCAUCAAACAUAUUGGCAAAGAAGAGAUAUCGAACAUAACAGGUGACAGACUCGGUCGUCUGGCUGAUCACGUGCUCGCUCAAACGUGUUUCUAUCCUGUAUAUCCUCCAUCCGAAGACCUAAACGUGGACACGGAUUUAUGGGAGAAGCAUGCAUUCUUCGAUCAGCAACCACACAUGUUAAUUUUACCAUCUGAUAUGCGAUCUUACAGUAAAGUGAUCAAUGAAUGCGUGACUCUGAACCCGGAACGCGCGCAUAAGCACGCUUAUGCCAAGUUGAGUGUGAAACCAUCCCUGGGCGGUAAAUGGAGUUCCAAUAAUAUCUCGUGCGAGAUCGUCAGAGUUUGAUAGCUUUAAAAAUAGAAAUAUGGCGCCACCAGCUCGCCGCUGCUGCCCCCGCAAAGUUCCCCGGAGUUCUUCUACCGCUGGUGGUCCAUAAAAUCGGCCAUUACAUCAACAUUUUUGUCGUGCGACGAGCCAGGCAGUUAGGAGCGAUUCACGAUGGAAAAAUCGCGAUCGACCUGGUGAACCGCGUCCCUCUCUCCCCUCCUUCCGCAAUAAAUCGUCCAUGGCGUCCAUCGGAAGUUAAACUCACAUGGAAAUCGCAUUACGGUUUUCGCACAGUCCCCGUUUCGCAGACACGUGCGCCAGGAAUCAUUGUGUAUGCGAGAAUGCGAGAAAGCGAGAGUGCUAUAUCGAUCCGCGGCUCGCAAUACAAGUCUGCCUACCUACCUCAACCCUAGCACGGCUCAUAUACAUACAUACAUAGGAUACAUUGAACGGUAAGCUGCCCCUGGCAGCGACUCCGUUAUAUUUAUUUUUUGUUUUUUCCUCGAUAAAUUUCGGAAACAGACAGAGGGAGAGAGAAAGAGGAAAGGAUCAUUCCCACUUUUUUCUGAUGUCAUUUAACCGAGUGUUUCUUGCUUGGAAUAAUUAUAAUACAUCGUAUUCAGAUACAAGAAUAUUAGGGAUUUGAUACUUACACAGUUGAAAAAUUUGUGU